AAAAGCAACAACAGCAAAAAAAUCUAAUUGAAAAACUUAUAAUUAAUCAAUCAAUAUGUGAAGACCAGAAGACUAUUGCUAAUUUUUGUGCUAAGUUUUAUAAUGAUUUGUACACCUCUAAAUUUAAUAAACAAAACGCUUUAGAUUUUUUCGAAACAUUAUCUUGUGUAAAAAAAUUGGAGAAUGCUGAUCAGGCUUUUCUUGAAGCUCCAAUCACAUUAACAGAAGUUGAAGAAGCAAUUAAAUCAUUAAAACGGAAUAAAUCUCCUGGCACUGAUGGUUUCAUUUCAGAAUUUUACCAUAUGUUUAGUAAAAAUAUUGCUCCCUUCUUGUUAAGUGUUUAUAAGGAAAGUACAGAUAACUCUUUUCUCCCACCUACUUUAUGCCAAGGUUUGAUUACGCUAAUCCCCAAACCAAAUAAAGAUCGAAAUUUAUUAGAUAAUUGGCGUCCAAUAACUUUGUUGAACAACGACUACAAAAUAAUUGCUAUAGUUUUAGCUAAAAGAUUAAAAGUAAUUUUACCUUCUAUUAUUGAUGAAACUCAGUCAGGCUUUAUGCCAAAUAGACAUAUAUCUAAUAACAUAAGAUUAAUUUUAGAUAUCCUAGACUAUUCUGAUAUGAUUGAUGGAGACAGUUUCAUAUUUUUUUUGGAUUAUUAUAAAGCCUUUGACACUUUAGAACAUGGUUUUUUAUUUCAAGCGCUUAAAGAAAUUGGGUUUGGUGUUACUUUUUGUAAAAUGAUUAAAAUGUUAUAUAAAAACAUAAAUAGCUCUAUUAAGUUAAGCAGUGGUACUUCCCCAAGAUUUUUUUUACAUCGUGGAGUAAGGCAGGGAUGCCCAGUAUCACCUUAUUUGUUUUUAAUUGCAGUACAGUUUCUUAAUUUACAUAUCAAAAGGAGUAAUUUAAAAGGAAUUACUAUUGGAAGUACAGAGUUAAUUAUAAGUCAACUAGCAGAUGAUACAACAUUGUUUUUAAAAGAUUCAUCUCAAGUGGCGGCUGCAUUAAAUACUCUACAAACAUUUUCCAAUGCAUCUGGUUUAAAUCUUAAUUUAAAUAAAUGUGAAUUACUUCCCAUUAAAAAUUGUGGUGUUUCCUCAAUUUGUGGAGUAGCUGUUAAAAACUCAGUAUCUUACCUUGGCAUAAAUAUAACUAACGAUAAAAAUAGAUGUGAUGCUAACUUUAAUCCAAUUGUUGCAAAAA
ensembl:lincRNA